rnacentral:misc_RNA from 1 species
GAUGAAGAACGUAGCGAAAUGCGAUAAGUAAUGUGAAUUGCAGAAUUCAGUGAAUCAUCGAAUCUUUGAACGCACAUUGCGCCCGCCAGUAUUCUGGCGGGCAUGCCUGUCUGAGCGUCAUUUCAACCCUCAUGCCCCUAGGGCGUGGUGUUGGGGAUCGGCCAAAGCCCGCGAGGGACGGCCGGCCCCUAAAUCUAGUGGCGGACCCGUCGUGGCCUCCUCUGCGAAGUAGUGAUAUUCCGCAUCGGAGAGCGAUGAGCCCCUGCCGUUAAACCCCCAACUUUCCAAGGUUGACCUCAGAUCAGGUAGGAAUACCCGCUGAACUUAAGCAUAUCAACAAGCGGAGGA